rnacentral:lncRNA from 1 species
AUGGAUUCCGGAUCCUGGAGGAAUUCCAGAUCCUGGAUGGAUUCCGGAUCCUGGAUGGAUCCUGGAUGGAUUCCAGGUCCUGGAUGGAUUCCGGAUCCUGGAGGAAUUCCGGAUCCUGGAUGGGUUCCGGGUCCUGGAUGGAUUCCGGGUCCUGGAUGGAUUCCGGAUCCUGGAUGGAUUCCGGGUCCUGGAUGGAUCCUGGAUGGAUUCCAGGUCCUGGAUGGAUCCUGGAUGGAUUCCGGGUCCUGGAUGGAUUCCGGAUCCUGGGUGGAUCCUGGAUGGAUUCCGGAUCCUGGAUGGAUUCCGGAUCCCCUGGGAUCGAGGGUCCUUGGGAAUUCUCUCAAUCUCGGGGAUUCCCUUUCCCCCCCGGCUCUGGAGCUCCCUGGAUGCUCAGAUGGGAUCGGGAAUGGCGAUUCCCGGCAAUUGCAGCUCCUCGGGAAUCGGGAAUCUCCUUAUCCCGCCCGUGGGAAUUCCCAGCUCUCAGGAAUUCCCUUUUCCCACUGCUCCUCUCCCCAUCCCUGGUGGCUCCUCCACGGGAGCCCUUGGGAAUUUCCUUUUUCCGGGAAAAGGGAUCCCGGCCUGUUCCCGGAAAAUCUGCGGCAUCCAGACCUUGGAAUGCGGAUUCCCGCGGGAAUCCUUGGGAAUUCUCAGCCCCAAAACCGCCGGGAAGUGACGGGGGUGGGACAGAGAGCGGGAUCCAACCCCAGAAUCCCCAAAUCCCCCGGAAUUCCCAUCAAAACUCCGGGAACCGGGAGCGGCUCCGGGCCGGGAACUCACCGGGAACUCACCGGGAACGGCUCCCGAACCGGGAACUCACCGGGAACCGGGAGCGGCUCCGGGCCGGGAACUCACCGGGAACCGGGAGCGGCUCCCGAACCGGGAACUCACCGGGAACUCACCGGGAACCGGGAACGGCUCCCGAGCCAGGAACUCACCGGGAACCGGGAACGGCUCCCGAACCGGGAACUCACCGGGAACUCACCGGGAACCGGGAGCGGCUCCCGAACCGGGAACUCACCGGGAACCGGGAGCGGCUCCCGNNNNNNNNNNNNNNNNNNNNUGGGGCAAACACCUCUCCAAAUCCUCGUUUCCACCCAAAAAUGGGGCAAACACCUCUCCAAAUCCUCAUUUCCUCCCAAAAAUGGGGCAAAAAAUCUCCUAUUCUUCAUGUUCUUCUCUAAAAUGGGAGAAAUUCCUCCUCUUUUUCAUAUUUCCCCCCCAAAAAUGGGGUAA